rnacentral:lncRNA from 1 species
CAGCAGUCUGACUCCCAAUCCACUGCUUUUCCACUCACAUUGUUCCUGUCUUUCUCCUAGUUGUGGGGUCCCCCCCGGCGAUUUCGUCCUGAGCAGAUCCUGCAGCUCGGUAGGCUCUUAAUAGGUCUAGGAGAUCGGGAACUACAGGAGCUGAUCCUAGUGGACUGGGGAGUGCUGAGCACCCUGGGGCAGAUAGAUGGCUGGAGCUCCACUCAGGUAACACUUUUCCUCCUCCCUACGGCUUCCCAAACACCCAUCCCACAGACCCAGCCCUAUAGAUCAUCUAAAGCCCGAGGAAUUUUUUUCCUGUGACCCUACCUGGUCCUUCUUUCUAUCUUUUCUUGAUACCCCAUACUAGUGACCUUCAGGACUCUGAUAUAUUCACUCUGAGGCCCUGGACACAUAAUACUGUCUCCUACCUCUUUUCCUGGAGGCUUCCUCUUUUUCUAACCUUUUCUGAGUCCUCAGCCUUCCCCAUGACUCCUUAGGUCUUAAUAGUAACAGAAUAUAACCCGGUAACACCUACCACUUCCCUGUCCAUUAAUUCUCCAUAACUUUCCUCCUUCCCCUCUUCUCCCACCCCCCACCCCAGCUCCGCAUUGUGGUCUCCAGUUUCCUACGGCAGAGUGGUCGGCAUGUGAGCCACCUGGACUUCGUUCAUCUGACAGCGCUGGGUUAUACUCUCUGUGGACUGCGGCCAGAGGAGCUCCAGCACAUCAGCAGUUGGGAGUUUAGCCAAGCGGCUCUCUUCCUCGGCACCCUGCAUCUCCAGUGCUCUGAGGAACAACUGGAGGUUCUGGCCCACCUACUUGUACUGCCUGGUGGGUUUGGCCCAAUCAGUAACUGGGGGCCUGAGAUCUUCACUGAAAUUGGCACCAUAGCAGGUGGGGAGCUGGGCCACUGCUGGUGCAAGUUGGUUUGGUUUCUAUACCAUGGGUGGACUGGAUGGAAGACUGCCCUGCAAUUCUUCAGGUGUGGGCCUGAGAGG